rnacentral:tRNA from 3 species
CGGGUAGUGGCGCAGCUUGGUAGCGCGCCUCGUUCGGGACGAGGAGGUCGUGGGUUCAAAUCCCGCCUACCCGACAA